AGCGAACGCUGGCGGCAGGCCUAACACAUGCAAGUCGAACGAAGUCUUCGGACUUAGUGGCGGACGGGUGAGUAACACGUGGAACGUGCCCUUUAGUUCGGAAUAACCCAGGGAAACUUGGGCUAAUACCGGAUACGCCCUUCGGGGGAAAGAUUUAUCGCUAAAGGAUCGGCCCGCGUAAGAUUAGCUAGUUGGUGAGGUAACGGCUCACCAAGGCUAUGAUCUUUAGCUGUUCUGAGAGGAAGAUCAGCCACACUGGGACUGAGACACGGCCCAGACUCCUACGGGAGGCAGCAGUGGGGAAUAUUGGACAAUGGGCGCAAGCCUGAUCCAGCCAUGCCGCGUGAGUGAUGAAGGCCUUAGGGUUGUAAAGCUCUUUUACCAGGGAAGAUAAUGACGGUACCUGGAGAAUAAGCCCCGGCUAACUUCGUGCCAGCCGCCGCAGUAACAC
rnacentral:rRNA from 1 species